rnacentral:rRNA from 1 species
CCUACGGGAGGCAGCAGUGGGGAAUUUUGGACAAUGGGGGCAACCCUGAUCCAGCCAUGCCGCGUGAGUGAAGAAGGCCUUCGGGUUGUAAAGCUCUUUCGGCCGGGAAGAAAUCGCAUAGGCUAAUACCCUGUGUGGAUGACGGUACCGGAAUAAGAAGCACCGGCUAACUACGUGCCAGCAGCCGCGGUAAUACGUAGGGUGCGAGCGUUAAUCGGAAUUACUGGGCGUAAAGCGUGCGCAGGCGGUUUCGUAAGACAGAGGUGAAAUCCCCGGGCUCAACCUGGGAACUGCCUUUGUGACUGCGAGGCUAGAGUACGGCAGAGGGGGGUGGAAUUCCACGUGUAGCAGUGAAAUGCGUAGAGAUGUGGAGGAACACCGAUGGCGAAGGCAGCCCCCUGGGCCGAUACUGACGCUCAUGCACGAAAGCGUGGGUAGCAAACAGGAUUAGAUACCCUGGUAGUCCACGCCCUAAACGAUGUCAACUAGGUGUUGGGUGGGUAAAACCNUUUAGUACCGUAGCUAACGCGUGAAGUUGACCGCCUGGGGGAGGACGGCCGCGAGUAAACGUACGUAAGGUAAGUAGUUAGCGUGAGAGUGCCGACGGCGACGACGAGGGAGGAGG